UACGGGGGGAGCAAGCGUUGUUCGGAUUUACUGGGCGUAAAGGGCGCGUAGGCGGUCAGCACAAGUCAGUUGUGAAAUCUCCGGGCUUAACUCGGAAAGGUCAACUGAUACUGUGCGACUAGAGUGCGGAAGGGGCAACUGGAAUUCUCGGUGUAGCGGUGAAAUGCGUAGAUAUCAGGAGGAAUACCGGUGGCGAAAGCGACUCUCUGGACGGCAACUGACGCUGAGGCACGAAAGCGUGGGGAGCAAACAGG
rnacentral:rRNA from 1 species